CUUAGAACUGGUGUUCAACGUUGUAACUAGCAUGAGCUGUCACCGAGGGAGAAGAGCAAAAGAGCCAAGGAAAUAGCUUUGGGAGAGAAGGCCACUCUGCUGAGUGUCCCAAUCACUCAGAAACGUGAGGCAGCUGUAAGGAAUAUGGACAACCACCCAUCUGAGGCAUGAAAGAGCCACAAUGUUGAUGAAGCCAAGUCAAGAGAAGCUGGAGUAGAAUCUUCAAAUCACUGGACUGCAUCCCUGUGAACGCAAUUAUACAACAUCUUUCCUUC